rnacentral:rRNA from 1 species
UACGUAGGGUGCGAGCGUUAAUCGGAAUUACUGGGCGUAAAGCGUGCGCAGGCGGUUUUGUAAGCCAGAUGUGAAAUCCCCGGGCUUAACCUGGGAAUGGCAUUUGGGACUGCAAGGCUGGAGUGCGGCAGAGGAGACUGGAAUUCCUGGUGUAGCGGUGAAAUGCGUAGAUAUCAGGAGGAACACCGGUGGUGUAGACGGCUCUCUGGACCAUUACUGACGCUGAGACACGAAAGCGUGGGUAGCAAACAGG